CUAAAUAUAAUGAAAUGAGAAAUAAUCACUCAUAUUCAGUAGCUCUUCACUGGACAACUUCAUGAUGAUGAAAUGAAGAGAAAGAGCUGACUUCCUGUUUCUCAAAAACAUGAAGGGAAACUCCUUUUUCUAACUUGGCUGUUCACAGAUAAGGUUGAUGUUCAUUCUUUGCUGGUCAACUGAUCCUAAUAGGUCAACUGGUUUUAAAACUUACACUAUCCUCAUUUUAUCUGCAGAAAUUCAGCCUGAAGGUACAUCAGAGUCUGUCUGAGAACAUGCUGACAGUCAACAUGUUACUGAGUGUCUUCUUUCUUCCAGGUGUUUUUGCUGACUACUGUCAAAACAAACCAGUAGGCAUCUCCAUCACAGCACCAAAGGAGAUUGAAGCUCUGAGUGGAUCUUGUCUGGAAAUCCCAUGUAGCUUUAAGACAUUGAGGCAGUUUGACAGCAGGAGACAUACCAAUGGAGUCUGGAUGAAAAAUGACACAGAUUUUAGCAGCGAUCCAAGUGUAGUUAUUUUCCACAGCAGUAGGUCAGUAAACAAAUAUCCACUGAAUAUCACUGGAAACCUGAGAGAGAGAAACUGCACCACUCUGUUUCCUGAUUUAAAUACAAGUUAUACAGACAAAUACUUCUUCAGGGUUGAGAACGGACCGUUCAGAACAACAGCUUGCGCUGAUCCUCUUCAAAUAAAGGUUAAAGAUUCUCCUUGGAGUCCCAGCAUUAAUGUUCCCUCUGACCUGAAGGAGCAUCAGUCUGUCACUGUAACCUGCUCAGC